rnacentral:pre_miRNA from 12 species
GUUCAUCCAUGGGUGGGGAUUGAGUGCAUUGCUUGUGUUAUGUAUAAAGUAUUGCACUUGUCCCGGCCUAUGGAAGAAAG